CACUACACCCUCACUGCAUCUUCUCGUUCUCUCUCCCCCCUACCCGUCGCCCCCCAAGCGUUGCGUCAAGCAGCAGCUUACUUGUUGCUCCCUACGCCUCUGCUUUUUUAGGGUUUCUUUCGCAGCGCUCUCUCUAGCUCUGCGAUCCCUGUCAUGCGGUGCUCGUAGAUCCAUAGCUCAGGUAAAUCUUUCUCCCUUGUCGAUGACCUGCACGAUCUCCACAGUCGGCGCCCCAUCGCAGGCUGUUGUCGCCGUCUAGGAGUCUGUUCGAGGGAAAUGUCUUCGUCUAGACGUGCGCCGGAUCAGCCGCCCCCCCGGCGGAUUCUGCGGACACAAACCGCGGGGAACCUCGGGGAGUCAAUCUUCGACAGUGAGAUCGUGCCUUCGUCGCUCGUCGAGAUCGCGCCCAUCCUUCGAGUCGCUAACGAGGUCGAGAGCCAGAACGCCCGCGUCGCUUAUCUCUGUCGUUUCUAUGCUUUUGAGAAAGCUCAUCGUUUGGAUCCUACUUCGAGUGGUCGUGGUGUUCGCCAAUUUAAGACUGCACUUCUUCAGAGGUUAGAAAGGGAGAACAAUCCUACACUGAAGGGAAGAGUUCAUAGAAGUGAUACACGGGAGAUGCAAACCUUCUACCGAGAGUACUUUAAGAAAUACAUUCAAGCACUUCAAAAUACUGAAAAAGCUGAUCGUGCUCAACUUACCAAAGCCUAUCAGACAGCUGCUGUCUUAUUUGAGGUUUUAAAAGCUGUUAACCAGACCCAAGCACUUGAAGUUGAACCUGAGAUAUUGCGAGCUCACGAUGAGGUUAAGGAGAAGACCAAAACUCUUGGUCCAUAUAACAUCCUUCCUCUUGAUCCUGACAGUGCAAACCAAGCUAUCAUGCGUUAUCCAGAGAUUCAAGCUGCUGUAUCUGCCCUUCGAAACAUAAGGGGUCUUCCAUGGCCUAAGAACCAUAAGAAGAAGCCUAAUGAAGAUAUUCUAGAUUGGCUGCAAGUUAUGUUUGGCUUUCAGGAAGAUAAUGUGUCUAAUCAAAGGGAACACCUGAUUUUGUUACUUGCAAAUGUCCAUAUACGUCAAAUUCCAAAGCCCGAUCAGCAACCCAAGUUGGAUGAACGCGCAUUGACAGAGGUCAUGAAGAAAUUGUUUAAGAACUACAAGAAGUGGUGCAAGUACUUGAAUCGGAAGAGUAGUUUGUGGUUGCCAACUAUACAGCAGGAAGUGCAACAGUGGAAGCUUCUAUACAUGGGCCUUUAUCUUCUUAUUUGGGGUGAAGCUGCAAAUUUAAGAUUUAUGCCAGAAUGCCUUUGCUACAUCUAUCAUCAUAUGGCAUUUGAGCUAUAUGGUAUGCUAUCAGGGAACGUAAGCCCUAUGACAGGUGAACAUAUAAAGCCAGCAUAUGGUGGUGAUAAAGAAGCUUUUCUAACUAAAGUUGUAACUCCAAUAUAUAAUAUUAUUUCUAUGGAAGCUAAAAAGAGCAAGGAACAAAAAUCAAAACAUUCACAAUGGAGGAAUUAUGAUGAUUUGAAUGAGUAUUUUUGGUCUGUCGAUUGUUUCCGAUUAGGCUGGCCUAUGAGAGCUGAUGCUGAUUUCUUUUGUCAACCACCUGGAUCUUUGUCUUACAAUAAAAAUGGGGAAAAUCAUCAGCCUAGUACAGAUCUCUGGACUGGAAAGAUUAAUUUUGUUGAGAUACGGUCAUUUUGGCAUGUUUUUCGAAGUUUUGAUAGAAUGUGGAUCUUCCUUAUUUUAUGUCUACAGGCCAUGAUCAUACUUGCUUGGGAUGGUGGUUCACCAAGCGCUAUUUUUGAUGCUGAAGUAUUCAAAAAAGUUUUGAGCUUUUUUAUAACUGCUGCAGUAAUGAGGCUGGGACAAGCUGUCCUUGAUGUAAUAUUUGGCUGGAAAGCAAGGAGGAGGAUGUCUUUUCCUGUUAAACUGAGAUAUAUCUUGAAGGUCGUUUCAUCAGCAACAUGGGUGAUAAUCUUAUCAGUAACUUAUGCAUAUUCUUUUAAACAUCCUACGGGAUUGGCAAGGACAAUCAAGAGUUGGCUUGGGGACGGUCAAAAUCAGCCUUCACUCUACAUUCUGGCUGUUGUCAUUUAUCUAUCACCCAAUAUGCUUGCUGCAUUGCUGUUUUUAUUUCCAUUCUUAAGACGAUUUCUAGAACGUUCUAACUAUAAGAUAAUCACCCUCAUGAUGUGGUGGUCUCAGCCACGUCUUUAUGUUGGAAGAGGGAUGCAUGAGAGCUCGUGGUCACUUUUUAAGUACACCAUGUUCUGGGUGCUUCUUCUAGCCACAAAGUUGGCUUUUAGUUACUAUAUUGAGAUAAAGCCUCUUGUAAAGCCAACGAAAGAUAUCAUGAACGAGCAUAUAUACACCUACAAAUGGCAUGAGUUUUUCCCACAUGCCAAUAAUAACAUUGGUGUGGUGAUUGCUCUUUGGGCUCCAAUUAUGCUAGUUUACUUCAUGGAUACUCAGAUUUGGUAUGCAAUUUUUUCUACAUUGGUUGGUGGUAUUUAUGGAGCUUGUCGUCGUCUAGGAGAGAUUCGCACAUUGGGAAUGUUAAGAUCAAGGUUUCAGUCUAUGCCGAGUGCUUUUAAUGCCUGUUUAAUUCCGCCUGAAAAAUCUGAAGCAAGCAGAAGUAGCGGUUUUCGGGCUGCUUUAUCUAGCAAGUUUGAGCAGUCCUCAAGUAAUGGUGGCACUGAGAAGGAGGCAGCACGAUUUGCUCAAAUGUGGAAUAAAAUAAUCACUAGUUUCCGGGAAGAAGAUCUCAUAAGCAACAAGGAAAUGGAUUUGCUGCUUGUUCCAUAUAAGUCUGAUAGGGAUCUGAAUGAUCAAAAAAUAACCCAGUGGCCACCUUUUUUGCUUGCUAGCAAGAUUCCUAUUGCACUUGAUAUGGCAAAAGAUAGUGAUGGGAAAUAUCGUGAAUUGCAGAAGAGAAUUCAUGCAGAUGUUUAUAUGAUUUGUGCUGUUAAAGAGUGCUACGCAUCAUUUAUGAGCAUCAUUAAGUAUUUAGUUGAUGGUAAACGGGAAAGCGAGGUAGUAGAUGGUAUUUUCUCCAAGGUUAAGGAUUGCAUAGAAAAUGACAGCUUGCAUGAGCUCAAGUUGAGCCAUCUUCCCGUUUUGUGCAACAAAUUUAUUGAGCUGAUUAAGUUACUGAUGACUAACAAAAAAGAUGACAGAGGACAGGUGAUUAUUCUUUUUCAAGAUAUGCUUGAGGUGGUGACAAGAGAUAUCAUGGAAGAAGAGCUCCCUGGCUAUCUGGACUCCAAUCAUGGUGGUCAGAGGCAUGAGGGGAUUACACCAUUGGAGCAACAAGUUCAGUUAUUCGCAAAAAUUGGAGCAAUAAAAUUUCCUUUACCAGAAUCAAAUGCUUGGAUGGAAAAGAUGAAACGGCUACAUUUACUGUUUACUGUGAAGGAAUCUGCAAUGGAUGUACCAUCUAAUCUAGAUGCAAGAAGGCGGAUAUCCUUCUUCUGCAACUCUUUGUUUAUGAAUAUACCUAACGCACCCAAAGUUCGGAAUAUGUUGUCAUUCUCUGUCUUGACGCCUUAUUAUACGGAAGAUGUUCUUUUCUCCUUAAAAGGAAUUGAAGAACCGAACGAGGAUGGUGUUUCCAUACUUUUUUACCUGCAGAAAAUUUACCCAGACGAAUGGACCAAUUUCCUUGAGCGAAACAAUUGCAAGACAGAAGAGGAACUGCGUGAGAGGUAUGAUGAUUUGGAAGAGGAGCUACGGCUUUGGGCAUCUUACCGGGGCCAGACUUUGACAAGGACUGUGAGAGGUAUGAUGUAUUACCGGAAAGCUCUAGAACUUCAAGCAUUUCUUGACAUGGCUAAAGAUGAAGACCUUAUGGAGGGUUACAAGGCCAUUGAAUUAACAUCUGAGGAAAAUUCAAAAGUUGGAAGAUCCUUGUGGGCACAAUGCCAAGCUGUAGCAGAUAUGAAGUUUACCUAUGUGGUGUCUUGCCAGCAAUAUGGAAUUCAGAAACGGUCAGGCAAACAUCAGGCUCAGGAUAUUCUAAGACUUAUGACCACAUAUCCCUCUCUCCGUGUUGCUUAUAUUGAUGAGGUUGAAGAAACUAGCAGUGAUGGUUCUAAAAAGAAAGGAAAUGUGUACUAUUCUUCAUUGGUUAAGGCUGCUUUAGUGAAGGCUGGUGACUCUACAGAGCCAGUGCAGAAUCUUGAUCAGGUAAUAUAUCGCAUCAAACUUCCUGGUCCUGCCAUCUUGGGUGAAGGAAAGCCUGAAAAUCAAAAUCAUGCCAUCAUUUUUACACGUGGUGAAGGUUUGCAGACGAUUGAUAUGAACCAGGAACAUUACCUAGAGGAGGCUUUGAAAAUGAGAAAUUUAUUACAAGAGUUUUUAAAAAAACAUGACGGGGUAAGGUAUCCAUCGAUACUUGGAGUUAGGGAGCAUAUAUUUACUGGAAGUGUUUCUUCUCUUGCUUGGUUUAUGUCAAACCAGGAGACUAGUUUCGUGACAAUAGGACAGCGUGUACUUGCCAAUCCUUUGAGAAUCACUCGACUCUUUCUUGGUCCACUAGGCCUUUCUGCUAGUUGUCAGGUCCACACCAACUGGAUUUCGACCAGCUGUCAGGUCCCGACCCAGUCGGACUUCUUGCCAGAUAUUAGGUCACUUCUUGACCUAUCUGAACUUCUACAUCAGCUAUCAGGUCCUCCAGACCUAGUUCGAUUUCAACCUGAUGUCAGACCAGUCAAGUCCUGCACAUUUGGUAGAAAGGGUACGGUUUCAUUAUGGUCAUCCAGAUGUCUUUGAUAGACUUUUCCACCUAACAAGGGGUGGUGUAUGCAAGGCAUCCAAGAUUAUUAAUUUAAGUGAAGAUAUCUUUGCAGGGUUUAACUCCACACUUCGUGAAGGUAACGUUACGCAUCACGAAUACAUGCAAGUCGGUAAAGGAAGAGAUGUGGGUCUUAACCAGAUCUCACUCUUUGAGGCUAAGAUAGCAAAUGGGAAUGGCGAGCAGACAUUGAGCCGAGACAUAUAUAGGCUCGGACACCGCUUUGAUUUCUUUAGAAUGUUGUCAUGUUAUUUUACAACUGUUGGCUUUUAUUUCAGUACAAUGGUAACGGUGUGGACAGUAUAUGUAUUUUUAUAUGGGCGACUUUACCUUGUCCUUAGUGGGCUUGAUAAAUUUCUUUCCACUAGCCAGAGGUUCGUACACAAUGAACCUCUUCAGGUUGCCCUAGCUUCCCAGUCGUUUGUUCAACUUGGUAUUCUGAUGGCUCUUCCAAUGGUGAUGGAAAUUGGUCUGGAAAGGGGAUUCCGCACUGCACUUACUGAUUUCAUACUAAUGCAGUUACAGCUAGCCUCUGUAUUCUUUACCUUUUCCCUGGGUACCAAAACCCAUUAUUAUGGGAGGACAUUGCUCCAUGGUGGUGCAGAAUAUAGAGCUACAGGGCGUGGGUUUGUCGUCUUCCACGCAAAGUUUGCUGAUAAUUAUAGGUUAUAUUCACGUAGCCAUUUUGUUAAGGGUUUGGAAUUGAUGAUUUUGCUUGUGGUGUAUGAGAUCCUUGCAUCAUCAUACAGAGGCACAGUGGCAUACAUUUUCAUAACUGCUUCUAUGUGGUUUAUGGUUGGAACCUGGCUUUUUGCUCCCUUCUUAUUUAAUCCUUCUGGCUUUGAGUGGCAAAAGAUUGUAGAUGACUGGGCUGACUGGAAUAAGUGGAUCAGUAACAGUGGGGGAAUUGGCGUAUCACCAGAAAAAAGUUGGGAAUCAUGGUGGGAAAUGGAACAAGAACAUCUUAGGUACACUGGGAAGCGUGGUAUCAUUGCUGAAAUAGUACUGGCAUUGCGGUUUUUUUUCUACCAAUAUGGACUCGUCUAUCAAUUGAGUAUAACGGAACAUACACAGAGUGUGCUGGUUUAUGGAGUUUCGUGGCUUGUGAUCUUUGCAAUUUUACUUGUUAUGAAGGCCGUAUCACUUGGACGGAAAAAAUUCAGUGCAGAGUUUCAGCUUGUUUAUCGUCUAAUAAAGGGCCUUAUCUUCAUAACCUUCCUUUCCAUUCUAAUAAUCCUGAUAACCAUCCCCCACAUGACAGUGCGAGACAUUUUUGUUAGUAUUCUUGCUUUCAUGCCUACUGGAUGGGGAUUGCUCUUGAUUGCACAAGCUUGUAAACCUGUUGUUCCAACUAGUCUCUGGGGGUCGGUUAAGGCACUAGCGAGAGGCUAUGAAAUCAUCAUGGGCUUGUUGCUGUUCACUCCAAUUGCUUUCUUAGCUUGGUUCCCAUUCGUUUCAGAGUUCCAAACGAGGAUGCUUUUCAACCAGGCCUUCAGCAGAGGCCUGCAGAUAUCUCGUAUCCUUGGUGGUCCUAAGAAGGAUCAACCAUCCAAAAAAAAGUAGUGCAACCAUCUCUCUCUCUCUCUCUCUCUCUCUCCCACAGUUACGGUCGAUUGCAAAUUAUCUAUUCUUGUCUGUAUAUUAUAUUAGCGAUGCAUGUGUUUAGAUGGCUGCAAUGUCGCUGGAAUCGUUCUCUAGCAACACAAGUUGUGCUUUUAGCAUGCAAACUGAACCAAAAGGCUAGUUUAAUUUUAUUGGUUUUGUAAUAUGUAAAACAGUAGUUAUGCUUUCUUAUAUUAUUUUUUCCUUCAA